rnacentral:rRNA from 1 species
CCCUAGUAACUGCGAGUGAAGCGGGAAAAGCUCAAAUUUAAAAUCUGGCGGUCUUUGACUGUCCGAGUUGUAAUCUAGAGAAGUGUUAUCCGCGCUGGACCGUGUACAAGUCUCCUGGAAUGGAGCGUCAUAGAGGGUGAGAAUCCCGUCUUUGACACGGACUGCCAGGGCUUUGUGAUGCGCUCUCAAAGAGUCGAGUUGUUUGGGAAUGCAGCUCAAAAUGGGUGGUAAAUUCCAUCUAAAGCUAAAUAUUGGCGAGAGACCGAUAGCGAACAAGUACCGUGAGGGAAAGAUGAAAAGAACUUUGGAAAGAGAGUUAAACAGUACGUGAAAUUGCUGAAAGGGAAACGCUUGAAGUCAGUCGCGUUGGCCGGGGAUCAACCUUGCUUUUGCUGGGCGUACUUUCCGGUCGACGGGUCAGCAUCAAUUUUGACCGGUGGAUAAAGGCUGAGGGAAUGUGGCUCCUUCGGGAGUGUUAUAGCCCUUGGUCGCAUACAUCGAUUGGGAUUGAGGAACUCAGCACGCCGAAAGGCCGGGUACUUGUACCACGUUCGUGCUUAGGAUGCUGGCAUAAUGGCUUUAAUCGACCCGUCUUGAAACACGGACCAAGGAGUCUAACAUGCCUGCGAGUGUUUGGGUGGAAAACCCGAGCGCGUAAUGAAAGUGAAAGUUGAGAUCCCUGUCGCGGGGAGCAUCGACGCCCGGACCAGACCUUUUGUGACGGAUCCGCGGUAGAGCAUGUAUGUUGGGACCCGAAAGAUGGUGAACUAUGCCUGAAUAGGGUGAAGCCAGAGGAAACUCUGGUGGAGGCUCGUAGCGAUUCUGACGUGCAAAUCGAUCGUCAAAUUUGGGUAUAGGGGCGAAAGACUAAUCGAACCAU